rnacentral:lncRNA from 1 species
CACCAGCCGCUCGGCUGUCAGGCGCGGUGGCCAAGUGGAGUUCAGCUCCUCCUCUACCGGCUCGUGGCCAGAGCACUGUAACUCUUUCCAGAGGCUCCGCACAGCUGCAGAACUCCCUGCAUCCUCUACCCUUCAACUCCGGUCUGGAUCCCGCGACGAAGGAUAUGGUCUCCUGUGUCCUGCCAGGAUUACUGAGGUUGGCUUACCAUCAACUAGCUUCUCUCUUCAAAACUAUACUAAAGGGUAGCAAUUUUUCGUUGUUUUCUUGUUUGUUUUGAAGGAUGUUUUUGUUUUGGAGACAGUGUCUAACCACAUGGCAAUGUAGCUUUAACCAUCCUGGCGCUCCCUAUGUAGACCCGGCUGCCUUUGAACUGUCCAUCCUUCUGACUCCCAAGCGCAAGAGUAAAACCUUGAGUUUUACGCCA